UUUUUAUUUAUUUAUAUUGCUUAUUAAAAAGAUUUAAUUCAAGUGCUAUUUAUGUUAAGUUAUAAUUUAGUAAAAGAAUAUUAAGGGCAAUUUGGAUAUAGACUAUAUUUUAUAGUCGAGAUUAUUGAAUUUUAUAAACUAAACAAAUAUAGUAAUUCCAUAUACACUGUAAUCUAGUAUUAUAUUACUAUAUUAAACCAAAGACGAUAAUACAGUAGUAAUAUAAUUCAGAAAUCUUUAAAUAUUCGAUUAUGUUAAAAUAAUAUGUAAUGCUGUAUGACUUGAACUAAAAAAAGAAAUAAAUGUCUGCUGAGUUAAGAAACGAGAUUUAUUAGUCAUAUGGUUGGUGGUCAUCGACUGGAGUAGUCAGCCUGAUUCGGCUCUGAGUAGGGGUGUUAACGAGCCGAACACGAGCAAGCUGGGACCAGCUUAUGUUCGGCUUAUUUAAUAAAUGAGCCAAACACGAGUCAGCUCGUUAAAGUAUGGAGACGAAAAAUUCAACUCAUAUUUGGCUCGUUAUUAAACGAGCAGAAUGCGAGCUGGACAAUGAACAAUAAAUUAAAUAGAUUAGAUUGGAUAUACAUAAAAAAUAAAUUUAUAAAAUCUUACCCAUUAGACUUUGAUCUAAUAGUUUAAAAUUUACAUAUAAAUAAAUUAUUUUAUAAUUGAACUCAGCUUUAUAUAUGGUUUUUUUGCUAAAAAUCAAACAAAAAAAAUAUUAUAUAUAUAUAUAUAAUUAUUUAGUUAUAUAUAUAAAUAUAUAUAAAAAUAAAUUAAAUAAAUUAUAUAAAUAUAAAAUAUAUGUAUUUGUGUUGGUACCGAGCCGAAUACGAGCGGGCUGAUCCUGUUCGUGCUCGACUUAUUUAUUAAAAGAACCGAAAAAUUUGACUCUUUGUUUG
rnacentral:lncRNA from 1 species